rnacentral:rRNA from 1 species
GCGCGAAAACUUUACAAUGCGGGAAACCGUGAUAAGGGAACUCCGAGUGUCCGUAAAUUCGGACUGUCCGUAUGUUUAAAAAGCAUACGAAGAAAGGGCCGGGCAAGACCGGUGCCAGCCGCCGCGGUAAUACCGGCGGCUCGAGUGGUGGCCACUAUUACUGGGCUUAAAGCGUUCGUAGCUUGGUUGUUAAGUCUCUUGGGAAAUCUAUCGGCUUAACCGAUAGGCGUCCAGGGGAUACUGGCAAUCUAGGGACCGGGAGAGGUGAGGGGUACUUCAGGGGUAGGAGUGAAAUCCUGUAAUCCUUGGGGGACCACCUGUGGCGAAGGCGCCUCACCAGAACGGCUCCGACAGUGAGGGACGAAAGCUGGGGGAGCAAACCGG